rnacentral:rRNA from 1 species
AUUGAACGCUGGCGGCAGGCCUCACACAUGCAAGUCGAACGAGUGGCGGACGGGUGAGUAAUGGCUGGGAAACUGCAUGAUGGAGGGGGAUAGCGACUGGAAACGGUAGCUAAUACCGCAUAACAUCAGAUGGACCCAGCUGGGAUUAGCUAGUUGGUGGGGUACGGGCGCACAAAGGCGACGAUCACUAGCUGGUCUGAGAGGAUGACCAUCCACACUGGAACUGAGACACUGUCCAGACUCCUACGGGAGGCAGCAGUGGGGAAUAGUGCACAAGGGGCGCAAUCCGGAUGCAGCCAUGCCGCGUGUAUGAAGAAGGCCUUCGGGUUGUAAAGUACUUUCAGCGGGGAGGCGUUACCCGCAGAAGAAGCACCGGCUAACUCCGUGCCAGCAGCCGCGGUAAUAC